CGAUUUCUACCACUUCCACAAUCGACCAGGCGCUAACUACCACUGGAGCACACUACCAGAAUCCCUCUACUGGUCUACCAAAAUUCAACCGGCCAACACACACACACACACACACACACACACACACACACAUCUGGGAAAGAGUUCGCGAAAGAGCGAUGUUCUGCUACAGCUGAUAUCAAGACCAUUGGGGUAUUUAACAAGACCUGCUAUCAAUUCAAAGUAGACGAUGGAAGCUCAUUUGACUCCGCGCGGGAAAAAUGUAAACAAGCCGACGCCACCAUCACCGCCUCAGCGCGAAAUACCUCCCACCCUUCUGUCUCUCGCUCUAUCUCUCCGGAUCUCGCUCACUCGCUCACCGCCGUGACUCACCUCUGAGUUAGAGCGACGAGAGACAGCUUUGAAAGGAGACCUGGUGUGGAUCGGGCUGAGGAGAGACCCGGGAUUUAUUUCGCGGACAUGG